ACACCGAUUUUUGAAAACCUAUUUUAGGCGGGAUUGGAAAAUAGAUUACCGGUGCGAAAAUUUUAUUUUUCGAACCGGUUCUAACCGAACCGGUGCGAAGCUAUAGCUAAAUAAAAAAAAAACCUGGUCUGCCUCUAAAUAUCUACUCUUACUUUCUCUUUCUGUCUUCUUUCUUUCUGUUUCCUCCAUCUCUUUCCCUUUCCUUUACUCUCUCCUUCGAUCUCCUUCUCCACCGGCGCCCACCUUCCCCCUCUUCUGGUAUUCAGGUAUUUCUCGCUUUCUCUUUCUAGAUCAAUCGUUUUUGGAGUGAGUGUUUUCGGAUUUUUGAAUUUUCUAGGUGGGUGUUUUCGGUUGAGUGUUGAGUAUUUCAGGGUGGUUGGAGUGAGUUUCGGUGGUUAAGGUUUAGUUUCAAGUAGACGACGCCUUCUAAUCCGUGUAUCCCUCAUUGAAGAGGCAGCUUCUGAGUAAGCAAGGAGUUGAAGGAAAGCAAAAUUACACUACAAUGGGCUUUAUUGCAGAAUUCAAACCUGCCAAAAUGAUUCCCAUGCCAAAGUGCAGUUCGCUUCAUAACGUGACAGAAGUUUAUGAACAAGUGCAGCACUUUGGGCAGAUUGUAUAGGCUCCAUACAUUGAAGAGCAUGAGUUCUAUCAGGACAGAAACAAUUGAAUUGACUAUUAGGCUCAUCAAACUCACACUGCCCUCCAGAUUUUAAGUAGACAGUACAAUUAUAAGCUUUCCAAUUCAACAAAAUUCCCCUUUCAAGCAUAUCCAUAACUUUGCCUUUAGUCUGAUCCUCAUCAUAAUAAGGCACUUCAAUUAUAAGCUUUCCAGUUCAACAAAACUCCCCUUUCAACUCCAUUACACUUUUUCUCCAAAUCCUGCAAUUUUGAGUCAUUCUUAUACACUGCCAACCCCCCACAUUUCACUCUCUUAUCCCUGUAUUCUUUCAAAACCUUCUCUAGACAAUCAGGAAACACAUCUUGAAGGUGUAAAGAAUGGAAACAACCCUCGGAGCACCAGCAACAAGAGCUGAAGGUAUAAAGAAUGGAAACAACCCUUGGAGCACCAGCAACAAGAGCUACAAUUUUAAAAAUUGCAGUGGGUAGGAAAUUUCCAGCUAGUCAAGUGGGAGAAAAGGAACUCAAGGCGUUUCGAGAGCAGGAAAAUAGAGAGAUGAAUAAAAUUCUGGAUGAUUAUCUACAAAUUUGUGCCAUAGUUGGGGCACAUGCCGAGAAACUACAUAUUGAAAGGGACUCCAUAGACGAGGGAAUUGUGGAAAUCAUAUCUCAACAAAAGAUAGGGAGACUCGUCAUGGGUGCAGCAGCAGAUAGUAGAUAUUCAAGGUGUCCAUAAUGGAUUUUGUUGUGCAAAACCCUAAUGAUUUUUAUAGGGCUCAUAGACCCCAAUUGUGAAUGUUUGAUGUUUAGAUUUGACUAAUUUCUAGGUCAUAUACUUUGAGACAAGUCAUACAUCAAUAAAAACCUCAAAGAAUGAGAUUUUCCUGUGUUAUUGUCUUGAAGGAAAAUGGUGGAGCCUAAAUCAAAAAAGGCCAACUAUGUGCGUCAACAUGCGCCUGAUUUCUGUCACAUCAGAUUUAUAUGCAAAGGCCGUUUAAUAUGUACGAGGUAUGCUUUCCAUUUUUUCUUAAUCUCUUUCUGAGAAACCAACUGUACUUAGAAGCAAGCUCCUAAAGUAUCUCUUUCAACAUUUCAUUAUUACUUUUUUAAAUGUGAUUAUGAAGCUCCCUCAAUGAGCUUUUAAAAAAUACGUAUGGUAUCACAUGCUACUGAUCUUUCUUGAUCCGAAUAUGAUUUUAUCAAAUUUUGAUACCUUUGCUUGAUCUGAAAGCUCCUCGAUUCAGUUAUCUGUUUGAGCUAAUAGAUAUUAUAAUAAAGUCUUCUUAUUACUCCAAUUGGAAGAUAUGUUAUUAUUUUGAUUCAAUUAUGAGUGAGUUAUGGUGUUUAACAUUCAAUGUGCUCAAAUAAUGGUGUUUUACUAAUAUAAUACUACAUCCAAUUAGUAGUGUAGAUUGUGUUCCAUUUCAAAGUGGUUAUUUUAGCAAGAUGUGUACAAAAAAAUUUUACUGGUCUUUCACAGCUAGCUGCUAUUCUGCCUUUGGCAGUUGUACAUACCCUGAGCAAGCUCUUCACCAACAUGAGUUUGGGUAAAGUGGUAGUAUCAUUUACUCACACAAUCAAAGCUAUGGAGCCAUUUUUCUCUGUUUUACUGUCUGCUGCAUUUUUGGGAGAGAAUCCCACUCCUUGGGUAGUGCUUUUACUUCUUCCCAUUGUUGGAGGGUGGCUCUUGCAUAAGUGACUGAAGCCUUUUUUAACUGGCUUUUUUUUGGAGUGAUAUGGCUUCUAAUGUGACAAACCAAUCCCGUUAUGUCCUUAGCAAGAAGGUCAUGGUACAGAAAGAGAAAUCAAUGGACAAUAUUACACUCUUCUCCAUAAAAACAGUUAUGUCCUUUAUACUAUUAGCCCAUGCGACUAUUUUCAUGGAAGGUGUCAAAUUUACUUCUACAUAUAUAGAAGCUAUUCCAGCAGUAUAAACCAGCAAUGGCAGCAGCAGGGAACAGCAGCAGCACACAACCAGCAAGCCAUAACCAAAGCAGCAACAACAGUACAGCAGCAGCACCACUAGAGAAAAACAAACAGUAGCUAGCAACCCACCCAGCACCCCACAUCAACUCAUCCAUCACCAAGAAGGCAUUUAUAAACAAAUUAAAGAGUAAUUUCAUAUACAGAAUUUUAUUUUAUUUUUUUAGACGAAAAUUGUAAUAUU